GAAUUAUUUAGUUUUGGUUAUGGAAGAGGUUUAGAGGGGUGCCACAUAGUGCUUUUUUUGUUUUUUGGUCUAUCUAUAAUAUUUGUGGAUUGGCAAGGACUAGUGGUUAGGUUUUGUUCAUGAGUGAGAGCUCGAACAAGUCUCUCUAGAUUUGGUGGUAAAUUCUCAGUGCCAGCAUCCGCGGUUAUUCUGUUAGCCUUUUCUUCCCGUCAGUUUAAAUGGUUUAUGAGUUAUUUGAGUUUUGGGUAGAAUCUUUUCUCUUUUAAAAUUUCCUCAUAAUUUCUUGGUUAAGGGCUAAUAGAGAAAAGGAUUAGAGACCCUUGUAUUGAGUCUCCGAAUUUUGUGACUCUAUAGUUUAAACUAAAAAGACUUGGCAGCUGAUGAUAUUCUUCCGGGGGAGCGUGUAUCGUAAGAGAUAGUCCGCUUAGACUUUUACCAUCCCUAGAUAAGUUAGUGUAUAUCCGGUUGAAGAUCUGUGAUUUGUGUUUAUAGGUGAAUUUCAGUUAAUUUAAGCCAGGUCCAUGUGCUGCUGAUGGGAUGGUGUUUAUGCGCUACUUUAAACAAAAUAUUGGUCGUUAGAGACUGACAAUAUAUUUAGGACUCGGAAGUAGGUGUAGGUAUUAAUGAUACAUCGAAGGUUGAUUUAGUUGGGGUACACACCGCCCGUCACCCACGGCGAUUAGCUUUGGUAAGUCGUAACAUGGUAAUACUGGGGGAACCGGGUAUUAGUAGAUAGUAAGUUUAGAUUUCUAUCUUA
rnacentral:rRNA from 1 species